rnacentral:misc_RNA from 1 species
UUUCCGUAGGUGAACCUGCGGAAGGAUCAUUAACAAAUCCCUGUUUUUUUUGCGCCAGUGCAAGAAGAUUCAUUCUCUGCUUGCCCUGGUACAAGGAUCACACAAGUUCCAUGCUGCUGCAUCCCUGUACAGCAUGACAUUUCUGCACAUCGUCUGAUUACACAUCGUUCAAACAAAACAAACUUUUAACAAUGGAUCUCUAGGCUCUUGCAUCGAUGAGAACGCAGC